rnacentral:lncRNA from 1 species
UGGGCUCCACCCCUGGAGUUUCUGAUUCUGUGAAGGUGGGGUGGGUCUGGGACUUUGCAUUCCCAGGUGAUGCUGAUAUUGCUAACCCUGAGAUCUUAUUGGGAGAGCCUGAGAGAGAGUGGUUAAGAACCUGGACUUCACAACUGAACAACCCUGAGUUUCAGCUCCUGUUUCACCACCUUGGGCAAGUGACUCAACCUCAGCUAGUGGCUUAAGAGGAAAUAGAAAGUGAGGCUCAGUUUAAUUUGGUAUGGGACUCUGCAAAAACCAUUUUACAUAUUAGCCAAUUCUGUAAAAUGGACCAAAUGGCUCUUCUCCACUUCCCCCGAUGUCCCCCGGACCUGUUGGUCAGCAAUAGUCCUCUGGAAGAUGAGUUCUUCUCUUGCCUUUGUUUCUUUCCAAACCUGCGUAGCUUACCUUCCAGACGGGCACUUUCCUCCUCACUAUAGCCCAGGAUUUCAAUUCCCAAACCAUGGUAAUCUGAAUCUCAGUUUUCUGAGCAACAAACAUGAAAAGCAUUGGAGGCUGAUGCUGAGUUUGCAAGCCAUCAUGAUCCCCACCACCCCCACCCCCUACCACGUUCACAAAACUGUCUUCAAUCAGAGAAAGCGAGGAAGGAAGUUGACUUCUCUUAUCCCUGUGGAUUUGAUCCCAACAGCUGGAAUCCCAAAACAAGUUUUCUCAAGAAGAAAUCAUCACAUCAAGCCCAAGAUCCAAAAUAAACCAACACCUGAGUGCUAAACACUUAAUUGAUAGGCUCCUACAAGUUUAGAGCAUCUCUGAUAGCAAUGAGGUUCUCCUAAAGACCUGCCUUUAUUUUGAUUUGUGGCAUAAACUUUCCUGGACAAAGAGGCAACUUAGUCUAGUUGGUAUUAUUCUGGAUUUUAAGUUAGGAAACUGAGUUUUCUUCUCUUGUUCCACUGUCUGAAAUGUUAUUUUAUCUACAGUCAUGCUCCAUUAGUGUUUGUGGAAUGAAUGUGUGUGAUGAGCAAAUGCACAACAGGAUGAACCCUAGUAUUUUGCAAAGUGGUUGGAUAGACAAACUCCUCAAUUCCCCACUCAGUGUUCUUUUCAAGAAUAUGAUGGCUCCAAAUUCUAGCUUCCUGGGUCCCUCAUAGAUUUCAUCCAUUUAGAUAUUGUUCCAGUAGGAUCCUCACUCGAUGUCCCAAACCUUUUCCUUUUGGUUUCCUUUCAUCAAAAUUUACCAGAGGCCAGGUGCAGUGGCUCAGUCCUAUAAACCCAAUACUUUGGGAGAGAGGCAGGAGGAUCACUAAAGGCUAGAGUUCGAGACCGGCCUG